AAACUAAAUAGAGUCUGGCUCAUUAUUACAUCAUAACUCUCACAAGAGUAUUUUUGAUUAAAACAUGGGAGGAAAACUAAGGUUUCUAUCUACUGUUCUGCCUGCUCCUCCAUCCUAGUCAGCUCUUCGGCUCCGAAAGCUUCCAAGUUAUAAAAGUUGCAAUUAGUAUAUCCAAAAGACAUGCAUUAUCAAAUAACUUACCGAAAGGUCCUGGUCUCAGACUGGGUUCGUUAUGGGGCGAUGAUCAACUAUCAUCUUGAAUCGCCCCGUAGUAGAUAGGCCCCAUUUUAGCAGCGUCUUGACCACCAUUAUUACUUAUAUGACCCAACAAAGCAACCUAGUAAAUUGCAUAACAAUUCAGUCUAAAUGAUAGAUCUAUGAACAGUACAAUAGAGACAAAAUAUCAAGCACUGGAAAUAAGUGAGAGGUAAUCAUAAGAGAAUAUUCAAUUUCUCACAAACCUAACCAAUAGCAUCAGUUUCAAUUUCUCAUAGACGAAAAAUAACCAUUGUUUAUGCAAAUACUCAAAAAAAUUUCCAGUUUCAGCUCACAGAGAGAAAAUACCAAGCACUGGAAAUAAGUGAGCAGUACUCAUAAGAGACUGUCCAAUUUCGCACAAACCUAACCAAUAGAAUUAGUAUCAAUUCUCACAGAUGAAAAAUAACCAUUGUCCGUUUUGCAAAUUGUCAGAAAUUUAUACAAUAUCAGCUCACUGGUAAUGUUGCAGCUCGUCAUUAAUUUUGUGGCUACAUUUUCUUCUGGAGAUGUCCCACUAAAUUCAAUUUCUUCUCAGUACAACAGAGUUAGACUCGAAUGGAUUAGUUGCUGACUGAACGAUGGCAGAAUCAUGGUUGAAUCAGCGCUUGCAGCUAAGGCAUAGGCAAUCCGUUUGGCUUGCUCCAUGGCCAGAGCUUGGGGAGAAGGGAAGGCAAUUAUCGAAUCGGAUGGCGCUACUCUCAUCUAGAUGUUAUCUCUACAUACAGACAAGGGGGAUUGGAGCAUACAGACUAUCCUUGAGGAUAUUUUUGCUCGAUCUACUAAUGAGGAUCAUAUUUUAUGCUUUUGGUUACAUUUUCUUGUGAGUAGGAUUGAGAAAUAUGGUAGAUAUAAAGUCCCACUAAAUAUGGGACGUACAACACUAUAAGGAUGUCGUGUUGUUAAUUCUCCCGUUAUUAGUCUAGUGGGAUUAUUUAUCACAAGGAAUAGUAUAGCCUUUCCCCUUAGAAGCCCAAUCAAGGACCCAGAUGCGAAAAUGGAUAUGGGACACGAACACAGUGAAAGACACCUCAUAAACUACAGCUAAAAUAAAAAGAUAAGUGGCCAAUAACAUAUCGUCGAACAACCAAAAUGAAGGAAAAUUAACUUAGCAAAAGAACGAUCUCUAGCACUAAUUUGGUAUAAUUUGAUCCAUCAAAAUACUAACAAGUAACAACAAAGUGAGUUAAGUUUGCUGCCAUUUGAUUCCAAAAAUAAGUUUGAUAUGUUAUGAAGUGACCACUUGGUGUCCACAGGUGUCUCAAUUGAGGUUUGUCCUUGACGUGUCUUGUAGACGACCCCUAGUGAUAUAAUUGUUUCAAUACGCCUCUUGGCAUGUCCCAUAUGUACCCCAUGUUUCCCUUUGUUUAUGUGUCCUUGGCAUGUCUUAAAUGAAUGUGGCAACCGUUUAGGCAUGUUGAUUCGUCAUAGCCUUCUUUGUUAUUUCAGUCAAACAACUGGUGCUAAUGCAUUCUGAAUUCUGAAAGUAUUUGCUGACACCACAUAUGGUUUUU